UGAGAAAAUUAUGCAGGUGGAAG
rnacentral:piRNA from 1 species